GUCCUCGCCGGCCCAGGAGUCGGGGAUAGGCGCGGGGAGUCCCCGGGGGCACGGCGCACUCACCAUAGCCGGCCUCAGCCCCUGGCCGGAGCGCAGCUGCCGAUGGCGCGGACGCUGACCGAAAUGAACCACUGAUUUACCAGAAGAUGCGUUGAAAGAGCGAAGGAAAUUGUUUAAACAACAAGAACAAAAAGAAGGAAAACAAGAUUGCCAACUGACAAAGCAAUGGUGUGGUGUGAAUAGAAAAACUAUGACAAAAAGCUUGGAAAGGAGGAGUGGAGCAAAUCCUGGGGUCUCAUAAACCCAAGGCUCCCGGCUGAAGAGGAGGAAGGCGUUUGCAGUAUGCAAAAGAACCCCAAGGCACCUCAGCCAUUUGUUCCAGGUUUGAAACCUAACACAGAAGAUUCAGCCAUGCAAUGGGAUUUGAAGACAAAGGACAUCUGGUUAUUUAUGGAUAUGAUUAUCAAAAUUGAGAAUCCUGGCCUCCACAAUAGGAGCAAGACUGCAAAAACAACUGUAACUGGACAAACAUGAAACUAUGGGGACACAUGAUGAAAUUCUACAAAGAGCUGGAAAGAGAGCUUCAGCAAUCCACAUCUAGCUGUCUACCACAUGCAAGAAUGUAUACAGUUCCAUGCAUUCAUCAGUGCCUAGUUUAUUGCAAAUUGAGGAGCAUCUGUUGUUAUACUUUUGAACCUCUUCCUUUGUUG
rnacentral:lncRNA from 1 species